UUCUGCUGCCAGCUAGGUGAGGCUAAAAUAGACUUGAAGUCUAUUUUAUGCAAAUACUGAGCGAUGCAAAAUGACGACUGCCAAUCCGAGUGAACAGGCAGUGUGAAGUCAGCAG